GCAGCCCCACUGCAGAGCGUGCGUCCUUUCCAGCUCUGCUUCAGAGAACAGCAGGGUGUAUUGGUGCCCCGGCUGUCUUGGACACCUAACUCGGACCUUGAUCCCUUCCCUCCCCAGCUGCCCCCUUGCUGGUCAGCAGCCCCCAUAGUCACUCUUGCAGCUGGGGGGAGAGAGAGGAGAAACUCUUGGAUAUGCUGCUUCCAGACCAAAAAUGUAAUUUUAGGGGAUAAACAGUUUGUCUGUUCCACUCUAGAGAGCCCCCCGGGAAGUGCGUGGUGAACGUGACAACCACUACACUACAGAAACUCCCAGGAGCUCCAGACAGGCUGUGUUGAGCUAGAGAAGCGAUCUAAAGUGGUUGCCCCUGCUGAAGCUGGCAAGAGAACUCCGUGAGGCCACGACCACCGUAUUCCAGCAUGUGGCACCACACCUCCAGACAGCAAGCGCUCAACCAGCAUUCAUUGAAAAGCGAGCUGACUGGGUGCUCAGGAGGCUGCUGCCUUCCCUCCCUUCAUAGAACAAGGAGCUGUGACAACAGUGAUGACACAUCAGAGAAGCCAAAGUUUCUGUGUGCCCGGAGCUAUGCUAGCCCUUAGUAGCAUAUCAGUCUUUACAGUGGCCUGCACGUUUGUGGGUGCCAUGAGGAGAGGGCCUUCGAUCAUCUCAUUCAGUGAAAUAUCCGAAGCAACUAGCAACAGUGGCUGGUAUGUAACAGGUGCUCAAUAUAGAUUUGGAGGA